rnacentral:rRNA from 1 species
GACGAACGCUGGCGGCGUGCUUAACACAUGCAAGUCGAACGCUGAAGCACCAGCUUGCUGGUGUGGAUGAGUGGCGAACGGGUGAGUAAUACGUGAGUAACCUGCCCUUGACUCUGGGAUAAGCCCGGGAAACUGGGUCUAAUACUGGAUGCUACAUGUCACCGCAUGGUGGUGUGUGGAAAGGGUUUACUGGUCUUGGAUGGGCUCACGGCCUAUCAGCUUGUUGGUGAGGUAAUGGCUCACCAAGGCGACGACGGGUAGCCGGCCUGAGAGGGUGACCGGCCACACUGGGACUGAGACACGGCCCAGACUCCUACGGGAGGCAGCAGUGGGGAAUAUUGCACAAUGGGCGAAAGCCUGAUGCAGCGACGCCGCGUGAGGGAUGACGGCCUUCGGGUUGUAAACCUCUUUCAGCAGGGAAGAAGCCAGAAGUGACGGUACCUGCAGAAGAAGCGCCGGCUAACUACGUG